rnacentral:lncRNA from 1 species
UCUUCAUCAUCACUCGCCAAUCUCCCCCUCCGCAACUUCAUCUCUCUCUCCCUCUCCCUCUCGUUGUUGCUUCAGCCCGAGAGCUCACCGACCGGCCCACAGCAAACGAAGCAGCUUCACGUGUGACGUCCCUUGCGGUUGCCUCGUCUAGCGCGCGUCCACGAAGUCCACCGAAGGAGCUGCCCUCGUCCGUUUCCUCUCAACGCGCGUCUCUCUUGGCCCAAGCGAAGCUGCUCCUCCAUCAAGUGUCUUCUGCCAAGUGUUCCCUUCAGUCAACAGCCGGAAGCACUUAAGCCUUUUUGUUGACCGAACAUCUCAUGUGAAUCUCUCCACCAGCUCAACGCCAGCAAGACCGAAGUCCAUCGUCUUCAUCCAAGUCUCCACGCGUCCCCUGCUGGUCAAACGAAGCUGCCUCUUCUCCCGAUUGUUGACCACCGAAGCUCAUGUAGCUUCAAUCCACCGAAUCCCCAUCGCCAGCUCGCGUCUAAGUCUUCGGUCAAUAGAAAAUGCCCGCAAGAGCCUGUGUUGACUCCAUCGACGAGAGUUCUUCAAACUACGGCUGUCCGCUCCAUCUCUCAGCAACGACGCCAGCUGCAUCUCCACGGACGUCUUCGCCAGCAGCUGCUUCCGUCCAUACGUCAUCAGCUCGCGUGUCUUCGGCCAGUUGAAUCCUCGAAGCCCAGCAGCAAAUCCAGCAACUUUCGAGGACCAUCUGCCAACGAAGCUGAAGCCCGGCAAGCCCGCGCGAGUUUGUAGAAACCCAGCGUCUCAAUCGCCAAUUCCAGCCCAUAGAAUUCCAGCACUUUCGACCCACCAACAGCUUAGUUGAAUUCAACGAUUGGGCCAGCAAUUUCAGUCUUCAAGCCCGCAGGAUUGAGGCCCAAUUUCUGUCCACAAUUCGCAGCUCAAGUUAGUUCAGUCCAGAAAUUCAGCAGGUCCAGCCCAUUCCAGUGCAAGAACAAAUCUCAGAUUUGUUGGGCCAAGCUUAAGGCCCGGUCCAAGUCCGCCGGUGUCGUCGAAAGUCCGAUUUCGGCCGCCGUCGCGUCGCCGUUGCGGUGAUUCGGUCUCCGCUUUUGUCAAGUGAGUUUUACUCACUAAUGCUUUAUUAGUUUGCUAAUUAUGUCUUAGGGUUGGUUAGAUUUAAUUACAUGCACUUAGGUGGUUAGAUUAGGUUAGAACAAGUAAUUUAGUGACUUAAUGAUGCAUGUUAGGUGGUUAGACCUAGUUAUUAGCAAGUACAAAUGUUUGGUUAUUUAUUGAAUGCAUCUCGGGAUUUUUCCCGACCCGUUUCGGGCUCCAAUAAGGCAAUAUGGGCCUAAAUUGGAUUUUUAAUGUUUAUUUAUUUAUUUUCGAAAUUUAUUUAUUUAAUUAAUUAUUUUUUCGGAAAUUCAACCGGGAUGGCCGGUGACCGGAAUUUCGUGCUGAUUGUCGUGGUGUAGCCCGUUUAUUUAUUUGAGCUCUACAUUGUGUGGAAUUGAGUUAAUUGUGAAAUUUGAGGAUUUGUCCUAAAUUGUUUGUUAUUGAAUAUUUGAUUGGUAAUGGCCAAGCAUGGGUAUAUAGCGCCAGUACGUCGAUGGGCUAUAUAGUAGGGAGAGCGGUGAGAGCUAACUGAGAAUGUUAUUGGCUGAGACCAAUCAGGUACGAUAUUAUUAGACAUACGUGGUUCGGUGAUUGGGAGUAUCACUGGCGAAAACGGCGCCUUAAAGAACGCACGUAAAUGACUUAUAGACAAACGUGGUUCGGUGGUUAUGGGAAUAUCACUGGUGAAAACGGCGCCUUAAAGAACUCACGAUGUUGUCUAUAGCUGAUGUCACCUUGGCGAAAACGGCGCCCUUGAAAGGACACGUGGUUCGGUGAUCAAGGUUAUCACUGGUGAAAACGGCGCCUUAAAGAACGCACAGUGUCGGUGAUCGGUAUGUCAUUGGCGAAAACGACGCCCGAGAAACACAUGUGAUUUGGUGACUGAGUACACCACUGGGAAAUCGUGGUAUGAGUGGGAAUGACCUAGAAAGGGUCUGGCUGACAUGUAAUCGACUUAGUCGAUUGACCAGUGCUUGAUCGGAUGUCGUGAAUUGUUUGAAUAUCUAUGUUUAACCUUGAAUUGCAGGUUGGAACUGAGGCCAAGGUAUGUCCUCUGACUCGUGUUGUGCUUAGGCAACCGUAUGGCGUAUUAGUUUACUAAUCGAGUCGUAGGGGGUAGGACUCACUGAGACGUGGUCUCAUUGGUUAUUGAAUAACCAUUUCAGGACCCUAAGGAAAAGCUGAGGAGGAAGAACCUGAAGGGGAGAAAG